rnacentral:lncRNA from 1 species
AAACGGGUUCAGGCCCAAAACAGAUAAUAAAAAUAACAGAAAAACUGGCCCAGGUCCAUGCAAAUGGUGCUUAGCGCUCAAAUACCGCUCAACGGUAGGUGUGGCACUCAAAAUCACCCCCAGCAGUGCUCAAGCAUCAAAACAGUGAAAAACUGGUCCCAAAGCUGGCGCUCAAUGCCCAGUUCACCGCUCAGCGCUACCUUUUCUGCACCCUGUUUGACUUUUCU